GACGAACGCUGGCGGCGUGCUUAACACAUGCAAGUCGAACGGAAAGGCCCUGCUUUUGUGGGGUGCUCGAGUUGCGAACGGGUGAGUAACACGUGAGUAACCUGCCCUUGACUUUGGGAUAACUUCAGGAAACUGGGUCUAAUACCGGAUAGGAGCUCCUGCUGCAUGGUGGGGGUUGGAAAGUUUCGGCGGUUGGGGAUGGACUCGCGGCUUAUCAGCUUGUUGGUUGGGUAGUGGCUUACCAAGGCUUUGACGGGUAGCCGGCCUGAGAGGGUGACCGGCCACAUUGGGACUGAGCUAAGGCCCAGACUCCUACGGGAGGCAGCAGUGGGGAAUAUUGCACAAUGGGCGGAAGCAUGAUGCAGCCAAGCCGCGUGCGGGAUGACGGCAUGCGGGUUGUAAACCGAUUCCGCCUGUCACGAAGCGUGAGUGACGGUAAUGGGUAAAGAAGCACCGGCUAACUACGUG
rnacentral:rRNA from 1 species